AUUGAACGCUGGCGGCAGGCUUAACACAUGCAAGUCGAGCGGAGAUGAGGUGCUUGCACCUUAUCUUAGCGGCGGACGGGUGAGUAAUGCUAGGAAUCUGCCUAUUAGUGGGGGACAACAUUCCGAAAGGAAUGCUAAUACCGCAUACGUCCUACGGGAGAAAGCAGGGGAUCUUCGGACCUUGCGCUAAUAGAUGAGCCUAAGUCGGAUUAGCUAGUUGGUGGGGUAAAGGCCUACCAAGGCGACGAUCUGUAGCGGGUCUGAGAGGAUGAUCCGCCACACUGGGACUGAGACACGGCCCAGACUCCUACGGGAGGCAGCAGUGGGGAAUAUUGGACAAUGGGGGGAACCCUGAUCCAGCCAUGCCGCGUGUGUGAAGAAGGCCUUAUGGUUGUAAAGCACUUUAAGCGAGGAGGAGGCUACUGAGACUAAUACCCUUGGAUAGUGGACGUUACUCGCAGAAUAAGCACCGGCUAACUCUGUGCCAGCCGCCGCGGUAAUAC
rnacentral:rRNA from 1 species